CCUCUUCCCAUUCCGAACAGAGAAGUUAAGCCCUUUCACGCCCAUGAUACUGCCUUCACCGGUGGGAAAGUAGGUUGCCGCCACUU
rnacentral:rRNA from 1 species